UCGAAGACCUUUAGCAAUUUUUCACGAAUCUAUUGCCCGAUUAGUUCUGAAACAAUAACUAAAUUCAAAAGAAUCGCAGUUAAGAAUAUUGGACAAUGAACGAAAGUUUGAUCCAGUGAUUUUGAAUAGGUAGAGAAAUUAUUUUUUGUAACCUAAAAAGCAAUAAAAACAUGAUUAUUGUGUAAAAGUUGUCUCUAAUCACGUGCCAGAAGAGUCGGUAAUACGUGAGCAACGAGCGUUACGCGAAAAGACUAGGUUUAAAUAGCGAUUAGAAGAAGAUACUGAAAAAGAAGAAAACCCAAAAAAUGUUGGGUUUCUAAUAUAACGUAUCUAUAGAGUAAUAUAGACGAAAAUAGAAUGAAUGAUAUUAACGAUAAAAUGUGCUUAUUUCAUUUGGAAUACCUUUGGGUGAAGACAAUUUUCGAUAUAUUUAUAAAACAAAUAACUAUUUGUUUUUACUGACUUUUUUAUCGCGGAAGCUUGAGUAUCGACAAGAAUUAGUCACUCUUUUAGUUCAAGCCGUCAACGAUGACUUUCUUUAUCUAGAGAUCUUUUAGAUAAAUGGCUAAAGUAGAAAAGUUAACCUGAAUAGUAAGAUCGCAAGAUUUAUCCUCAAAGAACUCGGUGAGGUGAAACACCAUUUGUGAAGCAUAGCGAAUUAAUUGGACAGUACGCCCGAACCUUACCUCCGCUUGUAUAAUUUGACAUUUUAAAACGCUUCGUAAUUAUAUUACAAAUUUUUCCAAAUUACAAAUGUUGCAUGGUUGUCGAACAGAUCUUAUUUUAAAAUGUUUGGUUUAUUCCAAUAAAGAUCGAAACUUUCAUUCUUAUUUACAAAUUCUUUUGAAGAAAAAGCACUAUAAGAACAUCAAUAUCCAUAAGAUAUAUGAAAUGAAAAUGACGUCUAAAUCUUUAUGACUUUUAUGCGGAGGGCUUUCCGUGUGCUAUAAUGAAACAAUCAAAAAGUAACUUAAUAUUAAAAUUUUUGGUUAAUCUAAAAAAUGUUUCCCAGUACGGAUUACUAAUUUGCAACUUAAAAGUAUGAAGUCAGAAUAAAAAGUAAUGGUAGAUAAGAACGCUACCGUGAAAAUAAAAAUUUCACUUGCACGUCUCGCCCAUCACCUCGAGAAAAUUUAUAUCAAGUGAAGCCUUAAAAGCUUUAAGUAUUUUAUUGUGACCUUGGUGUAGAUAAUUUUGAGCAAGUUGUAACAAAGUAGCUGUUGAUGAAUCAGUAGCUGGAACA
rnacentral:rRNA from 1 species